UUCCUGCUAGCAAUUACCAGGCUUUUAUCUGUAGCUGUCAGUGCACUGUAAAAAGUGGCAGUUACUCCCAUUUUACAGAAGAAGCAGAUGUUCUAGGGACAUCUGAAUAGAUUUAAUGCAGAAAUUGCAUGCCUAAAAGGUGUUCUAGAAAAUCCCAUCAUUAUCACAUGACUGAUUUUAUUCAGUGCACCCAGGAAUUCAGAUCAGCUGGCUGUGCUUUGCUUAUUUGUUUUAAAGCAAUAGUUCUGAAGUUUUAAUUUUGUUCCCCUGCUGAGGCAGAGGAAGAGCUGGAAAAAGAUUUUUUUUUUUUUGAGGCAAACUUUCAGGUAUGGAUUUAUUCAGAACUUCUUGAAGUUUAAUUUGGUUUUGUGAUCAAGAGGCACAGAAGUCACAUUUGUGAAAUCCAAUUAGGCUCCAGCCCUGGCAGAGACACGACAGGAGGCACGUACAUCCAUCCAAGUCCCUGUGCCUCCCUGCUUCUAAAGCCUUCAGCCUCCACGGCAGAGCUGUGCUUCUUAUCUCAGGGCUCUAAGUGGUUAUUGGAAACAGCAGAGCCUGCAGGACUGUGCUGCUUCAGCAUCUGCAGCCAGAAUGGGUGAAGCACAGCAGAGCUCAAGGGGCUGGACUGCAUGCCCAAAGCUGAGCAGGGAAAGGAGUAAGAUAUAAUUACAUUUACACAUUUUCAGUUAGUACCAAAAUUCCUUUUGGUUGCAUCUUUCAAUUAGCCAAAUAACAAGACAGCCAUACUUCAACAGUUAGGGCCUAUUUCCUCUGUUUUUAUUAUUUACAACAGUUCUGCAUUUAAUUGGUGGUGUAAGAUGGUCUGAGGGUGCCAGGCAGGUUCUUACUGGGCCCUUUGGUCCUGCUCAUGCCAUGCCAUCAGUGAUGAGCAGCUGUCUUUAGCUUGGAACACCUAAGCCCCACAGUGACCAAUUACAGCCCCUCAGUGACUAAUUACAGCCCCUAACGAUGGGUCCCCAGUGGCUCAGUCUGGAGAUUAAAAUGUGCAGCUCAGCCAGGGCCUGAGAUCUCCCCUGUCCCUGGAGAACUCCAUGCUCCUGCUGUUGUCAGGAACAGUGGGGCUGGAAAGGAACAGGGAUGCAUCACCAGCCUUUGGAGUGAAAAUGGAAACAUCAGCAGGAACCCCAAUACUUUGCUUUCCUUGGAUCCUUUCCCUUUCCCAUAUAAGUGCUGUUAUUGUUACAUUUCUAUUUCAGGCAAGAAACAUAAUUUUAUUUCUUUUUCCAUUUCAAUAAUUUUUAAUGAAUUCUCUUCACAUACAAGAGCAAGGAUAGUUCUUGAUGAUAACAAUAAUUGGACCACAGGGAAAUACUGCCUUGUGGGUAGGUGACAGGCAGGGCACUUGAGAGGAGAUGAAGACAUUUCUGAUCAGAGUGUGGCUUUGGGGGGUCAGGGUGAAAUAGUGACUUAUGUGAAACAGCAGCAAAACUACUGAUCUUUCAUGGUUUGCUUUUAGCCAAGAAGCCUAACAAUAAAACCAAAAUUCCCCAUAGUGACUGGCUGGAGAAACUGCAUUCCUCCUCAUCAGGAUGAGGGGUCAUUUCAGCAGCCUCCCUCACUGGAGCCCUCAGUGAAUAAUAAGGAUUGUGUAGCUGCAGUUCAAUGUCUCUAUCAACACCCUUCUUAAGGUGAAGGAAGAACACAGCUUCUGUGUGCUUUGGAAAAAU